rnacentral:lncRNA from 1 species
CGGGACUAAAACUUUGGGCAUUUAGUCCCGGUUGGAGAACCAGAACUAAAGACUGUCUGAAACCGGGACUAAUGACCCUUUUCCUUAGGUCGUGUGGCAAGCAGUGCGUCCCAAGAGUAUGAGGUCCCGUGUUCGACUCCUUGUUAUUGCCAUUUUCUCAAUAUCCCCUACACAUAGAGUAGACGUACGUGACUUAUGGACCAGUGAUCUAUUAUACAUAAAAAAGUGGAUACGACGUGGCAAAAAGUCCAUAUUGCUUCUUAUAUAUUUUAUAAGAGGGUUGUACCGAAGCGGAACUCAGAUAGAAUAGUACAUGUGCCUCGUUCUUGGCCUCUUGAUGUUGUUAGGCUUCAAGAUUGGAUGAUUUGCUUUGAACCUUCACGUUUGCUGUUGCUCUCUUUCUAAAACCAAAGAUAAUAAUAUAUUUUUCACCUUGUAGACAUUCUUGAAAUAAGAAUAGAGAAGGCAUAUUUAUGCUAUACACGGAGAAGAAGCUUACAUGGAAUUUUUUGUUGGUAUAUACUUUUAAGUUGUGUGGUAUAAUUGGGAAAAACUAAAAACAUGUAUUUUUUGAAAAGGAGGAUUAUUCUCGGCCUGUGCAUUUAGGCGAUGCAUAUAGUCACUUUAUUAAUUAUUCAUAAAUACAUUCCAAAAUAGUACAUUAGAUAGUCUGAAGCCAUCAUUUUAGAAAUAUAUGUCGCUACUCCUAUCCAUUUAAUGAAGGGGUGCCGAUAGUCCGAGCCUAAUAUCAAAUAAACAUCACACCAAAGCCUAACAUGUAAAGUCAAAUGACUCAACAAAGACACAUACUGGAUACAAACCGGUCCGACGCACUUACUUGUGUCGUCGCUGCCGUCCUUCACCAAUCAAUCUUUAAAGCAGAAACUAACUCGCCGACUUUGCUAAGCCUCUUCGUCAUCGAUGCCAUCAUGAUGCCUACAUCGAUGGCCAAUAACAUCAGUUCUAGGACACACUUAUGGCAAGCUUGCCGCUAGGUUCUAUGGUCCGUACAAAGUCCUUGAAUACAUUAGAUUUGUGGCAUACAGAUUGGACCUUCCGGCUGGAGCUCGGAUUAAUGAUGCCUUCCAUGUUCGCUGAUUGAAGAAGUUCUAUGGGACACCACCUGCUGCUGCUCCCCCUCUGCCUGUUAUAUAAAAUGGUAAGGUGGUUCUUCAACCCCAUAAAGCAUUGAAGAUCAGUCUUCAACGUGGAGCGCACCAUGUUCUUAUUCAGUGGGCAUGUACAUCAGAGGAAGAGGCUACCUGAGAGCCUUUGGAGGAUUUCAAGGACCGUAAACGUGUCAUCGGAUGAGGAGGGGAGAUAUGUUACGUGGGGUAUCUAUUAUAGCAGCCGUAAGAGCAUCUACAACCG